GAUGAACGCUAGCGACAGGCUUAACACAUGCAAGUCGUGGGGCAGCGGGGUGAAGGCUUGCCUUCACCUGCCGGCGGCCGGCGCACGGGUGAGUAACGCGUAUGCAACCUGGCCGUGACAGGAGGAUAACCGGUAGAAAUGCCGCCUAAUACUCCAUAAUACUUUGCGGGACAUCCCCGUGAGGUCAAAGGAAGCGAUUCCGGUCACGGAUGGGCAUGCGGCGCAUUAGCUAGUCGGCGGGGUAACGGCCCACCAAGGCGACGAUGCGUAGGGGUUCUGAGAGGAAGGUCCCCCACAUUGGAAUUGAGACACGGUCCAA
rnacentral:rRNA from 1 species